rnacentral:lncRNA from 1 species
UGGCCAUACAUCAUACAGAUCUGAAGAAGCAACUUAGUGUCACAUCAGCUGAUGAAAUUAAGUUUGUUAUUCCCUGCCCAAAUCUUCCAUCUGGUAGCAAAAGCUCUACAGGGCUGGCAUUUAUCAAGAGAAGACACACAGAACAGCCUUGCAUAAAUAAUGGCACCGGUCCAAGUACAGCUGAGGUGGUUGCCAGCACAACUCCACUGAAGUCAAAGGAAUUGCACCAUGAGUGAGUUUGGACAUUGGCUCGGGUUAUAUAGGAUUUUUACAUGACAAUUUGCAGUAAUACAUCAGCUGUUUAAGGGAGUCAGGUCAGGUUUUGCUUUUUGGUAGAAUUCUGUAUUUGAGCUAUUUCAAAUUAAGGAGCUGAACUUCUGCUCAAUAGAGUGAAUGGGCUUUUUGUUAGUGGACCACUUUUGCACUUUCUGUUCUCACUUAACCUACUGCGAGUGCUAAACAACUCAGUUUCAUGAAAUGGCAAGUCAAUAGCACUGGGGCCCAGUGAAUUGCUGGGAAGAAGCAUUGUGCUGAAUGUUUUGUAGGUUUUGUGUUCUGAUCUUGUAUUUAAUAUAUUGCAUUUUAAGUGAUAAGAUGAUGCCCAUUGCUUGUAUGCAAGUGUUCUUUUGUACUGUCCUUAAAAAAUCU